rnacentral:tmRNA from 1 species
GGGGCCGACUUGGUUUCGACAGGGGUUGCAAAGCGGAACA